rnacentral:rRNA from 1 species
GACGAACGCUGGCGGCGUGCUUAACACAUGCAAGUCGAACGGAAAGGCCCUGCUUUUGUGGGGUGCUCGAGUGGCGAACGGGUGAGUAACACGUGAGUAACCUGCCCUUGACUUUGGGAUAACUUCAGGAAACUGGGGCUAAUACCGGAUAGGAGCUCCUGCCGCAUGGUGGGGGUUGGAAAGUUUCGGCGGUUGGGGAUGGACUCGCGGCUUAUCAGCUUGUUGGUGGGGUAGUGGCUUACCAAGGCUUUGACGGGUAGCCGGCCUGAGAGGGUGACCGGCCACAUUGGGACUGAGAUACGGCCCAGACUCCGACGGGAGGCAGCAGGGGGGAAUAUUGCACAAGGGGCGGAAGCCUGAGGCAGCAACGCCGCGGGGGGGAGGACGGCCUUCGGGUGGAAAACCGCUUUCGCCGGUGACGAAGCGGGAGUGAGGGUAAGGGGUAAAGAAGCACCGGCUAAAUACGUG